UCCUACGGGAGGCAGCAGUAGGGAAUAUUGCUCAAUGGGGGAAACCCUGAAGCAGCAACGCCGCGUGGAGGAUGAAGGUUUUCGGAUUGUAAACUCCUUUUGUUAGAGAAGAUAAUGACGGUAUCUAACGAAUAAGCACCGGCUAACUCCGUGCCAGCAGCCGCGGUAAUACGGAGGGUGCAAGCGUUACUCGGAAUCACUGGGCGUAAAGAGCGCGUAGGCGGGAUAGCAAGUCAGAUGUGGAAUGCUAUGGCUUAACCAUAGAACUGCAUUUGAAACUGGUAUUCUAGAGGAUGGGAGAGGUA
rnacentral:rRNA from 1 species